GCCGUCAUGGCUCAGUGGUUGAGCAUCAGUCUAUGAACCAAAAGGUCCUGGGUUCAAUUCCCCAUCAGGGCA
rfam:Myotis brandtii contig215009, whole genome shotgun sequence.